UCUUCUACCACUGACAGCAUACUUUCGAUA
rnacentral:piRNA from 1 species